AAGAAGAAUUAGACUUGUCAUACUUGGACUGUGAAGAUAUAGAUGAUGAUGUGGUUCGUGUAGACUUUAAUAUAGUCGCAAUGCUACAUCAACACUUACAAAUAACCACCUCCCUGGUUGCACUAACAAUGUUAUGCAUUGUUUAUCAUGCCUUGAAUAUAUUGAAUAUGUUCUCGAGUGAUCCAAGUAGUGUUAGCAAUUUUCUUCCCGACAAAGAUCGUCGCAAACAGUAGUUAAUAUCGUACCUGGUGCAUACUACUUGAUAUCGUGACAUUAUUCGGAUGGGUCCGGAGGCAUUUAUUAAUCUUUGUGAGAGAUUAAGAAGAACUGGGUUAGUUAAAGACGCCAUUCGCUCGACAGUGGAGGAACAAGUAGCUCAAUUUCUUCAUAUAAUUGGGCAUAAUGUUAAGAAUCGAAGUGUCACAUUUUUCUUUCAUCGGUCUGGCGCGACAGUUAGCAAACACUUUCACAAUGUGUUGGAUGCUAUUAUAACUCUAGAAUCAGAAUUUUUAACUCAGCCAUCAGGAGAUGAGGUUCAUCCAUAUGUGUUGAACAACAAUCGGUUUUAUCCUUACUUCAAGGAUUGCUUAGGGGCCAUAGAUGGUACUCACGUUCGUGUAAGGGUGCCAAGAGAAGAUGCUCCGAGAUUUCGUGGUAGAAAAGAUUGGUCAACUCAAAAUGUGUUUGCCGCAUGUGACUUUGAUAUGAAAUUCACAUACGUUCUAGCUGGAUGGGAAGGCACAACAUCUGAUUCUAGAAUCUUAAAAAAUGCUCUUGAUUGAGAUGAUCCGUUGGUGAUCCCCCAAGGAAAAUACUAUCUCGGCGAUGCUGGAUUUAUGCUGAAAAGUACAGUUAGACACCAUAUAGAGGCGUCAGAUAUCACCUUAAAGAAUUUACAAGCAGAGGACCACAAAAUGCACGAGAGCUCUUUAACCAUCGACAUUCAUCACUGAGAAAUAUUAUUGAAAGAACAUUUGGUGUAUUGAAGAAACGAUUCCCUAUCAUUGCAAGUGGCAUCGAACCACAUUAGGGACUGGAGACAAUGACGGAUAUUAUUUUAGCUUGUUGUAUCCUACACAACUUUAUCCGUGGAGUUGAUAAGGAUGACACAUUGCUUAAUGAGGUUGAUGAUGAGUUGAAUGAAAGGGAAGAACAUAAUGUGUCCUCCUCUCAAGUUCGAAAAGAUGAUUAUAGGGUUGGUAGUACUAUUAGG